AGCUAGGUGGGUUCAUAUUUAGUAAUUUCUGCCCGGUGACCUUUUAACGGCCGCAGUACUUUGACUGUGCUAAGGUAGCAUAAUCAAUUGGCUUUUAAUUGAAGUCUAGAAUGAAUGGAGGAAUGGGAAUAAGCUGUCUUAAAGAAUUUAAAAUGAAGUUAUUUAGUGGGUGAAAAUACCCACGAAAUCAAAAAAGACGAGAAGACCCUUAGAGUUUUUUUGUUGGGGUGACAGGUAAACAAACUUUACUUAAUGAAAAUUUAAACUACCUUAGGGAUAACAGCAUAAUCUUAUUUAAGGAUUGUGACCUCGAUGUUGGACUAGGAAAAUUAUAAUUAGAAAUUAAAAUUUAAAGUUCUGUUCGAACUAUUUCUCCU
rnacentral:rRNA from 1 species